CUUGUGUUAAAGAAUAAUUUAUAAAAAGAAUAUUCUCAUUUUUGUAGUUUAAGAAAAUAAACUUAAGAAUUACUUACUAAAGUUAACUUGGCUGACAUUUUACCUCUAUGUAUUCGGAUUUUACUACUAAUGGACAUCUUUUAAAUUGAUAUUGUCGUUGAAGACGGUGUUAACUGGUAAAAACAUUAAACAUAUUUUAAAGUGUACACUUUUAUAACUGUUAUUAUAUUGCUCUUGUUUUGGGAUAAAGCUGCCGCCAACUGAGAAAAAAGUAUUUUCAGAACUGUUAAAUUUGUUAGUGGGGUACAAUGGUACAUGAUGAAUAUGUAAUUACGUUUUCACAUUGUUAGAUAUUUUUAUUUAAAAGAUGUAAUUGCAGAUCCUAUAUCAAUAAGACAUGAAAGUAAUCAGUUUUGUUAUGCAACACAAAUAAAAAAUAUGUACCAAAAAAAUCAGAGAGAAAGAAGAACCGGACCGGUUUGUUUCCAAUGUUAAAGAGCGCGGGAACUUACGGCUAAGAAGACGCAAGAGAAAAAAAGAAGAAGAGAAGUGUGUUUUGUUACUUCUUUACGGGGAUUUGAUCAAUAAUACAACAGGUAUGAUUCUUCCAAUGUAAUAAUAUACGCUCGAGUAGGCAGUGAUAGUGUUUCGUGUAAGCUUAUAUUUUGAUUCAAUUUUUAAUUACCUGAAGUAAGCCGAUCGGUACACUUACUCAAAACCCGAUAAAAUUCGGUUUUGUUCGGUUCAGUUGUAAACCGAAAUUUGAAAUCACCUAUGUUAUGUUUUGUGGUUCUGUUUUCGUUACUCGUCCACCUCCUCAACUCGUUGCGCCGUUCUCCGCCAAUUCAUCGUUCUCUCUAAGCCGUUGUUACUUGUACAGACUCUCUGUUUGGGUUUAACGCGUUGACACGAAGGGAGCUAGUGAUGAAGAAGAUGAUGAGCAGUCGUUAUCGUCUGUGGCUUCGUCAGAUGAGGAAGAAGAAGAAACCAAAGAGCAAGAGUUGACACUGGAGGAGAUAUAUAGAUUGCGUGCUGAUGGGUCUCGUCCUGCAGUUCCCUUGAAGCCAUCGUUUUCGAAGAAAACUGGUCGUGCAGACAAGAACAUAACGUUUUCUAAAGUGAAGAAACCGGCUCGUGGAAACAAAAACAAACCUAUGGAGUUAAGUUCUAAAAGACCCGCGAGUCGAUAUAGAGAAGUAGUUCAUGUUCCUAAGAAGGUGGUUCGUGAUCCUCGUUUUGACUCAUUGGCUGGAAACGUUGACCCUGAAGGGUUUAGGAAGCGAUCACAGAUACCUCAGAGCAAUAAAUGAGAGAGAGAGAGAGAGAGUUAGAGAGAGUAUUGCUUUCAGGUUCAUGCCGAGAAUUGAGAUGGAGAUGAGCUAGCUAUAGGGAGAGCAAAAACGUUUUUAAUUGCUAGAGUAGAAGUUUUAUCUCCACCUCCGCUACAAAAUAGGACCAAACAUUUUAAUUAGAGUAUACUAUUUACAUGAUCUGUACAACAUAGUGAGAAUUUUAAGGUAA